rnacentral:sRNA from 1 species
UUUUUGCCCUGAUAGUAGUGGAAAUCCUUUUAAAAAAAUGCCGUUUUUUUCAAACGGCAUUUUUUUAAAAGAUUGAAACGUCCCGAAACUUCGGGAGCAGGAAUUAGC